AGCUCCAGUAGCGUAUAUUAAAGUUGUUGCAGUUAAAAAGCUCGUAGUUGGAUUUCUGGUCUGGCGCGUUUGGCCCGCUCCGGUUACGGAGUGUGUGCCGACGCGCGCCUGCCAUCCUUUCAGAGAAACGUUUCUACCCUUUACUUGGGAUCGGAUUCGCUAUCUGGAUCUUUUACUUUGAAAAAAUUAGAGUGUUUAAAGCAGGCUUGUGCUAUGAAUACAUUAGCAUGGAAUAAUAAUUUAGGACUUUAGUUCUAUUUUGUUGGUUUCUAGAACUGAAGUAAUGAUUGAUAGGGAUAGUUGGGGGUGCUAGUAUUCAGCGGCCAGAGGUGAAAUUCUUGGAUUCGCUGAAGACUAACUUAUGCGAAAGCAUUCACCAAGGAUGUCUUCUUUAAUCAAG
rnacentral:rRNA from 1 species